rnacentral:rRNA from 1 species
AGACAGCAGUCGCCACGGUAAUACGGAGGGUGCAAGCGUUAAUCGGAAUUACUGGGCGUAAAGCGCACGCAGGCGGUCUGACAAGUCAGAUGUGAAAUCCCCGGGCUUAACCUGGGAACUGCAUUUGAAACUGUCAGGCUGGAGUCUUGUAGAGGGGGGUGGAAUUCCAGGUGUAGCGGUGAAAUGCGUAGAGAUCUGGAGGAAUACCGGUGGCGAAGGCGGCCCCCUGGACAAAGACUGACGCUCAGGUGCGAAAGCGUGGGGAGCAAACAGGAUUAGAUACCCCAGUAGUCCCUGUCUCUUAUAA